rnacentral:misc_RNA from 1 species
GGUGGACCCGCCGGAGCUUCCGCGACUUCUCCACCAACACCACCUUUCAUUGAAUCCCUUUAUUUCUUCCUCUUUCCCAAUAAAUCAAUAACAGCCAAAUAAAUAAACUGAAAAUCCGCCGAUCAAAUCGAAGAUUCUAGAAUGUUCACUUCAUCAGAACCGAUCGCCGGUAGGUUUUUUGGAAUCGCCGUCGUCAGAAGAACACCAUAAUCGAUUCAGAUUCAAUAAAACGACGACGUAUUAGCUUCUAUAACACAGAUUGAAC